rnacentral:sRNA from 1 species
UACCGUGGCUGGUGCCAUGAAGAGCUUUUUCUCAGAACUGCCUGACCCCCUGGUCCCGUAUAACAUGCAGAUCGACUUGGUGGAAGCACACAGUGUCACCGAAUGAAGGAGGCACUGUCCACAGCCCCUUUUACAGACAAGGAGACUGACCCUAAGGUGUCACUUGCCCAAGGUGACACGGUUGAUGCGAGAGGCCGGAUUUGUACCCAGGGCCAUCUGAGUCAGGAUCUGGACUCCAGACCACCACAGGACCUUCCUCCCUGCUCAGCGUGCCCGUCACUGGCAUUCUGUCUGCUCUUCCAAGUCUCACUCUCACCAGGGUCCUUGU